CCCUUGGUGGCUCAGAUGGUAGAGCAUCUGCUUGCAAUGCAGGAGACCCAGGUUCGAUCCCUGGGUUGGGAA
rnacentral:tRNA from 1 species